CGCCCCGGCCCCGCGGCCGCCGGCUCCCCGCGCACCGCCCCGCGCAGCGCCGCGACCCCCGCGGAACCCGGGGAACGCCGCUCCUGCCAGCCCCCAGGCACCUCGGAGCGGCGUGGGGCACUGCUGCAGGGCACCGGCUUCCCGUGGUUUGGGGUGUCAGGUCUUGGAAAUUUCCCCAUGGAGGUGUGAAAUAGUUUGCACCUCUCCUUUGCACUUACACUACUGCACUUUGCACUACUGUAGAGCAAGGAGCGAAGGAAGGAAAUCCCAGACUUGUGAGUAGUUUCUCUGCCUCAGCGUGAGUCCCAAAUUACAGUGAAUGGGCUCAGGUUCCUCAUGGUCUGGCUCUGCUCCACAGUGGAAAAAAAUGUAUGUAUUUCCUAAUGCUGAUAGCCCAGAAGGAGACAAUAUCCUUUGUGAAAUUCAUCACACAGCUCUUACCGUCUUUCCUGGUCCUCAUAAAACACUCGGGGCCAUGCGUUUACACCACUUUGCAGUUGUACCCAGUCCUGCACUACCUCCUUUGUGACAUCUCUGCUGAGUUCUCCCCAUUUCAUCUGGAAGUGCAUGGUCUUUUAUGUCUUCCUAGAUCAACCUGAAAUUAAGCCCUCGGGGAACAUUAUUCCUUAGCCAUAACAACAGUCUUUGCCUGUCAGAUUAUUUUAUCUCCUGGAAUACCCCACUUGGCUUUCUGUGCAUGGUAAUAGUUCAACAGGUUAUGCAAUUCCAAGAGGGGUUAAUGGAUCCAUCAUGAUAAGUUAUCUCUGCAGUUCUUGAAAUCAACAGGUGUGUACUAGUAUGCAUUUGGGUAAAGGGUUAGUUGCUGGUAGGGCUGGGAACUUACCUGGAGAAUACCCUACCACAAGACCCUUUUAGUGUUACUGUUAGAUACCUCCAAGGGUCUCCUAAGAAGAUGGAAAUAGAACCACUUCCACUUUAGGAACGUUCCAAGAAGUUCUGGACGAAGUGCAAGCCAACUAGAUCCCAACCCCAAAAUUUCUAGAUAGUUAGGAUGUCCUGCAGGACAAAGGCACUGUGGUAAAAUGCUCCUUGGAGAGAGGGCUGAGUGUGGCUGAUGUUUUUGGAGAGCCUGUGCUUUACCUGGACAACACACUGCAAAGAGCUGCCUGUAGGGGUGGCUGGGUUCCAUCUCAAGGAGGGGAAGCUGAGGCAAACUGCAGCCUGGCUGUAGUUAGUGUGGGCAAGCUUAUCCUGCUAGACCUGUCUGUGUGCUGCUGUGAGCUGUGGGUACCUGCACAAGGGAGGAAAACCAGUGACCACCUCCAUGCCCCCCUGUUACUCCCAUAUAACUGAUUUCCACUUUCUUGCUACAGGAGCAGAUCCAAUCUCCUCUCUCUGUGCCAAGCACCCUCCAUAGGAGGACAAGUCAAUGCCAGCUGCAUGUCUAAGCUAGAGCCAUCAUUCUAUUCUAUUUCCAACAGAGGAGCAAACACAUGGAGAGAUGGAAAUGGGGUGAGCAAAGAGUCUGAUGUGGCAGAGGACAGUCAAAGACCUCCUUAUUUCCAAUCCCAUACUAGCAUUCCAUGAAGAGGCUCUGCUGCCCUGUGGCUGAUUCCUAUCUCUUAGCUUCUAUGAUCCAAGUCCACUCCACAACCGUAAUUCCUCUCAAUCCAGCAUCUUUUGGGGAGUUUUAAGACUCAGUUUUGGCUUAUUUGCUUUGGGCUCGGAGCACAUCCAGUUUACUCAUGUGCCCUGGCAAGAGAGCAAUGCGUGCCCGGGGCUGCGCGUGAUCCCGAGCUGAGCAGAGCACGGCCGUGUCUGUGGUGCCUGUCCUGGGAGAAGAGCAAGUGCAAGGAGCCUCUCUGGCAGCAGUACAUGAGCCUGAUACGUGAUAGCCUUCAACAACAACUGUGAAGGAAGGAUUGAUGGACUUGUCAUAAUGCACAGAACGGGGAGCUUGGGCAGAAGGACUUGUGCUUCUAGGAACAGGCAGGCAGAAGUGGUCCAUCACCCACGAGGCAAGCCAGCCACACCAGGCACUGCUGCCCUGCCACAGGCACGAGCCCCCAGCACUCAUCAGGGUAACAGGCAAAAAUCACCUCACUUCCAGCUUCACUGCUAGACUGGUCCUUACAAAACAAGCCAGUGUGCUUGCCUGAGAAAUUGGAGAGAGGCAGAGGGUUUUACAAGUCCUUCCCUCCACUCCUGCACCUUAACUGACAGCAAGUAAUGUGAACACCUCUUACACAUGAGACUUUUAAAGUCCCACAGCUCCUCUAGCACCCUACCCUAUGGUUCCACUGCCUUUUCAGAUUUUAUAUUAAACCCCAUAAAACAGAUAGGGAAAUGCGGUUUUUCCCCCUUUACAUCCAAGUUACUUAAAAAAAACCAAAAACUUAUUUCAUAGAAGCUAGAAAUACUAGCAGGUUUUCAGUUGAUAAUGAAUAUCCUUUAAAGAACAAAGGAAGCUGAUUAAUGAAGCCUGGAGCCUGUCAUGUGUAAUUCUUGUUAGCAAUAAUUUCUGUUAGCUGUUCAGGGAAGCACAGUUCUCAUUUUCAGAGCUUAAAUGACUUAACCAGACUUUUUAUGAGGGCACGGUAUCUAGCAACUCUGACUGCAAAACAAUGCAAGUUUCUAGAGGCAAAUCAUUGGCUGCUACUCGUUAUCGAUCAGUAACAAUUCAGGAGCUUUUAUAAAAUGCAGAUGUGAUGUCAGUUCUUCCUCUAGGAAACAAAAACAAUGAAGUUUCAGCCUGGCCUGACUAGCAAGUAAUGAGUGCUGCCAUCCUAUCAACACAAGUUUGCCUUUUCCAGUGAAGCUCUUAAAUCACACAAAAACACCUUCAGAAGCAUCCAAGGAGCUGAGUUGCUCCAUUAGCAUCCCGGGAGUGUUACCUAUGGGCUGGAAAUCCCUGUGGAGGAUGAGGAGCUCCUUUGGAAGAUCAGAAACUGCUGGGAAAGAGAUGCUCAGUUUGAAAAAGUAAUCCUCCUAAUCCUUUGGAAAGCAACAGUAUCUUAGUUUUCGCCCCUGACUCUCUGCUCUGGCACAUGACCGACCUGGGAGCUGGUGAGCUCUGCCUCUCAGAUCCUCAGCCAAAGGUGGCUCCUGGCUCAUCCUUGGCUGUGCUGUCGACCACCAAUGGAUACCAUUGCCAGCCCUCCAUGGCCAGUGUUGUAGGUCUCUGCCUCUUGGUGGAGCUGGGAUGGUGGGAUGUGACCUUCUCCUGCUUCAUCCUGCUGUGAGUGGAUGCAGCAAAGUCUCUUUGGAGGAUUCUCUCGGAGCAAGACUGAAGUAGGCUGUAUCAUUUCUAGUGAGUGUUUACAUACACUUCUCCAGAAAACGAGCAAACAUGGAAAUGAUUAAAGAAGAUGGCUCAAAUUCGGCCUCUCAAGCAGUCAAGGGGUAUGGGGAAUAAAUCCUCAGUGAAGACAAGGGAUGCUUAAGAUGAGGAAUCUCAGUCUGCAGGAUGAACCAAGAAGCUGGAUACCCUGGCUGAAGUGUGCCAAGGCUCAGAGCAGCACAGCAGCAUGCCAGAUCCUCCCUGGAUUUGGGCAUAUCAGCUUGAUACAGAUCAGAGGGACUGCCAUCUGCACUUAUCAAGACAGUUGUGGACUUUCUUUGAAGCUGGGAGAUGGCCCAGGUGCAUGUUUUGUAGCAGGUUGCUUGACAUGGGCCUCAGGAAUGCCUUGUGGAACUUCAGCUCUUACUCCAUCAUCCCAGCCUUGCAGAGAGGGGUGAUGGCUGCAUCAGGGAGUCCAUCUAAACAGUUCUGCUGUUUAACCAUAAAUAUUUGGUGUGCAAUCUGGUGUUGAUCUGUAAGGGGUGCAUUGAAGAACAGGCUUAUUUUCUGGAAUCAAAACCUUGACUGAAAUAUCACUGCUUGGAACACCUCCUGCUUGCAAGGCUGACAGCAGCAAGGAUAAAAACCACAGCUCAUCAGUAAUAUA